rnacentral:rRNA from 1 species
UUUUUCGUAGGUGAACCUGCGGAAGGAUCAUUA